rnacentral:lncRNA from 1 species
UUUCGCUCUGCGCCCUGGGCUCUGCGGAGACAUGUGCUUGCCUCUUCUUCCGCGCCCCUCGCAGGAUGACGGCAAGCCCAAAGGGAAACGAGGUGUCCUGUGUGCCACAUGGAGCUUGGGGAACGGAAAUAAUUAAAGCCAUGAGGUUUCCUGGCUCUUCGCGGUGUUUACGGUUAUGGAGCUCUGUGGUGUUAUGGAAGUGAAUGGCAUAUUGCCAUGAGUAAUGAAGUGAGAUCCCAGCAGUACCCACUGUACCAAGAAGCUGAGCGUUGACUGAAGGUCUGAUGGCUUCUAGACUCUCACCAUGAACUAACUGUGCCACACGUUGAAAUUGAAAUGUGGAUCCCUUGGAAUAACUUGUUUCCUGUUUUAUGAAGGUCAGAGGGUGGGAGUGAAAACUUACCAGUAACCAAACAUGGUGGUAUCAAGCCUAAUCAGAAAUAAAAAAACUUCUAAAAUCUGUG